rnacentral:rRNA from 1 species
CCUACGGGAGGCAGCAGUGGGGAAUUUUGGACAAUGGGGGAAACCCUGAUCCAGCCAUCCCGCGUGUAUGAUGAAGGCCUUCGGGUUGUAAAGUACUUUUGGCAGAGAAGAAAAGGUAUCCCCUAAUACGGGAUACUGCUGACGGUAUCUGCAGAAUAAGCACCGGCUAACUACGUGCCAGCAGCCGCGGUAAUACGUAGGGUGCAAGCGUUAAUCGGAAUUACUGGGCGUAAAGCGUGUGUAGGCGGUUCGGAAAGAAAGAUGUGAAAUCCCAGGGCUCAACCUUGGAACUGCAUUUUUAACUGCCGAGCUAGAGUAUGUCAGAGGGGGGUAGAAUUCCACGUGUAGCAGUGAAAUGCGUAGAUAUGUGGAGGAAUACCGAUGGCGAAGGCAGCCCCCUGGGAUAAUACUGACGCUCAGACACGAAAGCGUGGGGAGCAAACAGGAUUAGAUACCCUGGUAGUCCACGCCCUAAACGAUGUCAACUAGCUGUUGGGGCCGUUAGGCCUUAGUAGCGCAGCUAACGCGUGAAGUUGACCGCCUGGGGAGUACGGUCGCAAGAUUAAAACUCAAAGGAAUUGACGG